CCUACGGGUGGCAGCAGUGAGGAAUAUUGGUCAAUGGGCGGAAGCCUGAACCAGCCAAGUCGCGUGAGGGAUUAAGGCCCUGCGGGUCGUAAACCUCUUUUGCCGGGGAGCAGAGGUCCGGACGUGUCCGGGCCGGGAGAGUACCCGGAGAAAAAGCAUCGGCUAACCCCGUGCCAGCAGCCGCGGGAAUACGGAGGAUGCGAGCGUUAUCCGGAUUUAUUGGGUUGAAAGGGUGCGUAGGCGGGCCUUUAAGCCGGCGGUCAAAUGUCGGGGCUCAACCCCGGCCCGCCGUCGGAACGGGGUGCCUUGAGUGGGCGAGAAGUAUGCGGAAUGCGUGGUGUAGCGGUGAAACGCAUAGAUAUCACGCAGAACCCAGAUUGCGAAGGCAGCAUACCGGCGCCCUACUGACGCUGAGGCACGAAAGUGCGGGUAUCGAACAGGAUUAGAUACCCGGGUAGUC
rnacentral:rRNA from 1 species